AGGAGUAUUGGGUGGGAGUGACUUCCCCCUCACCGUCUUGUGAAGGACUGAGACCUGCUCCUCGGUGUCAUUGCCCGCUCCUCUCGGAGGCCUAGAAGCUGCAGGUGCCUGAGGCUGGUCAUAUGCUCCUCUCAUAAAUAUUUCCUGAGCAUCUGCCAGCCGCUGUCCUGGUGCUAGGGCCGCUGUGUGGGCCAGGCAGGCACUGCCGGAGAGGGACGGGGGGUGGAGGCGGUGGGGAGACUGAGGUGACACGUAUAACGCUGUCAGUGAGGCAACUGAGAAAUAAAAGGCCUCGUGGAUGGACAGGGACUGUGGUGUGGGGUGCUGUGGGCAGGGCGUCAUCAGAGGCUCAGAGAGGCCUCCCUGAGCGGGGACAUUUGAGCCAAGACCACAGGAGGGGGCAGCCGUGUGAACAAGUUGCAGAAGGUUCCAGGCAGAGGGGUGGUAGGUGCGCAGCCUUUUUGAGGAGGUGUGGGCCUGGGGCGCUGGAAGAAGAAGGGCCCUGGGGCCUGUGGCUGGAGCGUGGAGGCAAAGGAGGACACGGGCACAUCCCGGUGACAUUGCUGGAUCGUUAGAAAUGGUAAAGCCGUCUUCUAGAGUGGCCGUAUGAUCUUACACUUCAGUGACCACAUCUGAGACCCACUUUGCUGCACAUCCUCACCAGAGCUUACUAGUGGUCAGGAUUAAAUGAGAUACUAUAUGUCAAGUGCUUUGCCCCCGGAGACCCACCCAUUGGCCUUCCUGGCAUCCCGUCUCUGCAGUGAGGGCCACUGGCUCUCUCAGGCAGGGUGACCACGCACCCUGAUUUGGCUAGCGUUUGGGGUCCUGAGGCUGCCAGCGGACUAUGGGUACUACGGCCAGCACAGCCCAGCAGGCGGUUUCGGCGGGCGCCCCCUUCGAGGGCCUCCAGGGGGGCGGCACGAUGGACAGUCAGCACUCACUCAGUGUCCACUCCUUCCAGACCACAGGCUUGCACAACAGUAAGGCCAAGUCCAUCAUCCCCAACAAAGUGGCCCCCGUCGUGAUCACGUACAACUGUAAGGAGGAGUUCCAGAUCCAUGAGGAGCUGCUCAAGGCCCAUUACACGCUGGGCCGGCUCUCAGAUGCCACCCCCGAGCACUACCUGGUGCAGGGACGCUACUUCCUGGUGCGGGAUGUUGCUGAGAAGAUGGAUGUACUGGGCACUGUGCGGAGCUGUGGGGCCCCCAACUUCCGGCAAGUGCGGGGUGGCCUCACCGUGUUUGGCAUGGGACAGCCCAGCCUCUCUGGUUUCAGGCAGGUCCUCCAGAAACUCCAGAAAGAUGGACACAGGGAGUGCAUCAUCUUCUGUGUGAGGGAGGAGCCCGUGCUGUUUCUGCGUGCUGAGGAGGACUUCGUGCCCUACACACCUCGAGAUAAGCAGAAUCUUCAUGAGAACCUCCAGGGCCUGGGACCUGGGAUCCAGGCAGAGAGCUUAGAGCUGGCCAUCCGGAAAGAGAUCCAUGACUUUGCCCAGCUGAGCGAGAACACGUACCACGUCUACCACAACAUCGAGGACCUGCUGGGGGAGCCCCACGCUGUGGCCAUCCGGGGCGAGGACGAUGUGCACGUGACCGAGGAGGUGUACAAGCGGCCCCUCUUCCUGCAGCCUGCCUACAGGUACCACCGCCUGCCCCUGCCAGAGCAAGGGGCCCCGCUGGAAGCCCAGUUUGAUGUCUUUGUGAGUGUCCUCCGGGAAACCCCCAGCCUCCUGCAGCUCCGAGAUGCCCACGGGCCUCCCCCUGCUCUCCUCUUCAGCUGCCAGACAGGCGUGGGCAGGACCAAUCUGGGAAUGACCCUGGGUACCCUCAUCUUGUUUCACCACAGCGGGGCUGCCUCAAGGCCGGAGGCUGUCCCCCUGCAUACCAAGCCACUGCCCCUGGAGCAGCUCCAGCUGAUCCAGAGUUUUCUCCACAUGGUGCCUCAGGGGAGGAAGAUGGUGGACGAGGUGGACAGAGCCAUCACCGCCUGUGCCGAGCUGCAUGACCUGAAGGAGGUCAUCUUGGAGCACCAGAGGAAGCUGGAAGGCCCCCGGCCGGAGAGCCCAGCCCAGGGAAGCUGCAGCCAGCACGGUGUCCGGCAGAGGGCGCUGCAGAGCCUGGAGCGAUACUUCUACCUGAUCCUGUUUAACUACUAUCUCCACGAACAGUAUCCGCUGGCCUUUGCCCUCAGUUUCAGCCGCUGGCUCUGUGCCCAUCCUGAGCUGUACCGCCUGCCUGUGACUCUGAGCUCAGCGGGGCCUGUGGCCCCCGGGGACCUCGUCACUAAGGGCUCUCUGGGGGCGGACGACCUCAUCUCUCCAGACGCACUCAGCACCGUCAGAGAGAUGGAUGUGGCCAACUUUCGACGGGUGCCCCGCAUGCCCAUCUAUGGCACAGCCCAGCCCAGCGCCAAGGCCCUGGAGAGUAUCCUGGCCUACCUAACUGAUGCCAAGAGGAAGCUACGGCAUGUCGUGUGGGUCAACCUGAGGGAGGAGGCCGUGCUGGAGUGUGAUGGGCAUACCCACAGCCUGCGGUGGCCUGGGCCCCCCAUGGCCUCCGACCAGCUUGAGAACCUGGAGUCUCAGCUGAAGGCCCACCUGAGUAUGCCUCUCCCAGGCACGGGGGCUGCACCGACCCGCAGGUUCCAGACAUGCCUCACCAUGCAGGAGGUCUUCACCCAACACCGUGGGGCCUACCCCGGCCUCACUUACCACCGCGUCCCCCUGCCAGACUUCUGCGCCCCCUGCGAGCAGGAUUUUGACCGACUGCUCGAGGCUCUGCAGGGUGCCCUCGCCAAGGGCCCGGGCACUGGCUUCGUGUUCAGCUGCCUCAGUGGCCAGGGCCGGACCACGACCGCCAUGGUGGUGGCCGUGCUGGCCUUCUGGCACAUCCAGGGCUUCCCCGAGGUGGGCGAGGAGGAGCUUGUGAGUGUGCCUGAUGCCAAGUUCACCAAGGGCGAGUUUGAGGUGGUGAUGAAGGUGGUGCAGCUGCUACCCGACGGGCACCGCGUGAAGAAGGAGGUAGAUGCGGCCCUGGACACAGUCAGUGAGACCAUGACGCCCAUGCACUACCACCUGCGGGAGAUCAUCAUCUGCACCUACCGCCAGGCAACCGUGAAUCUACUUUCUGCCUCUAUGGAUUUGCCUAUUCUGGACAUUUCAUAAAAAUGGAAUCAUACAGAUGUGGUCCUUGUGACCAGCGUCUUUCACUCAGCAUGAUGUUUUCAAGUUUCAUCCGUGUUCUAGCAUGGAUCAUUACUUUGUUCCUUUUUGUGACCAAUAUUCUAUUGUAUGGAUACAUCACAUUCUGUUUUUGGUGUCAUGCCUCAUCUAAGGUCAUGAGAAUUUACCUCGAAGAGAUGAGACCGGAACCUCAAGAAGGGAGAGGCCAUCAUAUGUGCAUUAGUCAGCUGGGGCCGCCACAACAAAAUACCACAACCGCAUGGCUUAAACAACAGAAAUUUGUUUUUUCACAUUGUGGAGGCUGGAAAGUCCAAGAUGAAGGCUCUUACCAAUUUGUUUCCACUGAGCACUCUCAUCCUGCUUGCAUAUGGCUGCCUUCUCACCUUGUCUUCCCACGAAGAGCUCUCGGGUUCCUCCAGACUCAGAUGAGCCUGGAGUCUGUGAUGAGGGUCUGGGUGACCAGGGUGGGCUGGGAGAAGGAAGAUGGAGGGGUUCCUGAGGGGAGGUUAGGAGUUGCUAGAGGCCAGUGCUGGAGGCCAGGGGACCAAGACCCCAUACGUCCCGACUCAGAAACAGCAUGGGGGGUACCCCCCCCCCCAACCCAAGGCUCACUGUGCAUUUUCACAUCUACGGUCUGGCUCAGUCCUUACUCUGUAUCUGUGCCUGAGGAAGGGCAGGCUGUACCAUCACAUCCAUGUUUGCAUUUGAGGAAGGGAGGCACUGGGCUUGCCCAAGAACCUACAGCUGGUGGUUGGCAGGAGGAGAGCGAGACCCCAGACCCGGAUUCCCAGGUCGGGCCCUCUCCGCCCUGCCAUCCCGCCGCCCAAGUUGGAGGAGGCAGUUUCACCUUCCUCCCACCUCAAGCCCUGCUGCUGGGGGCAGUGGGGGAAUCAGAACUAGAAGCCACGACCCGUGCCCUUGUGUCCCCAGCCUGAGAAGGCUAGAGGACAAGAGCACAUUGCAGACUCAGGUCAUAAGCACAGAGCAGGGAUGGGACUAAAACUGUCCGCACAUUUUCCACAGAGACAGGCCUUCCCUGGUCUGACAGCCUUGACUCCCUCUCUGCCUGGGCCUGUGCUAGGCUGCCUGGCCUCUGCAGGUUGCAGCCCAGCGAUGUGUCCUCCACUCUCCAGAGGGUCAGUGAGCCUGGGCUGGGACCUGACCAACGCUAUGUGUGUGAGGGGGCCAGAAGGCUAGGGCAUUUUAAAAAAACCGCCUCAAAAGGAAAAAAGAAAGAGCUCUUUGAACUAAGCUACUCUGUGAGGUUGUGAUAGAGGUGACAAAGCUGGGCCCCAGGCUGAGGAGGAUCCAGGAUGACCACCAGCCCGCGGUGGGAACACCAUCUGGUGAAUUAGUUGUUUCCUGCUGGGCCUGGAAAGGGAAAAAUAUCUGUGACAGAAACCAAGGUCAGUUCUCCUGGAGGAAGUCCUGCUAGAAUCAUUAAUGCCAGGGGCCUCUUCCUUAGCCUUGGCUGGUGACGUUAAUUCUUAGUGUUCUGUGUUUAAAAUAGUCUAAUGUGUCUCCCGUCUGUCCCUUCAGAAAGAGUUUGAAGAAGAACUGAGAUAAAAGUAGCCACACAGAGAGAAAUAAGAUGUCCUUUGGUCUCGAAUUGAGAUUUCGUCUGUAAAUCUCUAACUUUGAGCAGUGCUUUUUGUUUUCUAAGAACUUACUCUUUUGUCUCCUUUGGUCCUCAGAGUAGCUGGUAAGGAGGUGACGGCAGGUUUUACUAGACCAUUUUACUGAGGAAGACAGUGAGGCCUAAUGACACCGUGACCAGCUUGAGGCAGGACCAGAACCUAUCUCCCAACUCCUCGGCCUGUGUUCCUUUCCUCCCCGAUGGCCAUGACACUUGGGGCAGUUUUGUUGUGGGGGGAAGAAGGAAGGGUCCGGUGAGGAAGCCACCAGGGCCUAUUGAACGCGCUGCCCUGGGUUGGUGCAGAGUUGCCAAAAGGUCAGAGGUUCAGCUUGGUGCCCGCAAAGACAAAGGGUAUUCGGAAAAAUACAGAGUGAGACAGCUCUGGCUCUGAGCCCCAGGUGGGGUCCUUCUCAGUCUCUCCCCGACUCUGGCUUGGCCAGAGUUGUUCCCUGGAGACCUCAUUCCAGUAGGUAAUGUGUUUCCAGGGCCUGGGCUGUGCAACUAGCGCGGCCCUGGAACUGAGCUAUCACAUAAAAUAUGAUGGAAGGAAAGGGUUGCUUCCCAAGGCUCUUUCACACCCAGCCCAAAAUACAGCCAGUGGGUGGACGAGCGGCUGCUCGAAGUGCGUGUGGGUGUGUGCGCGCAUGUGCAUGCGUGUUGUGAGCAUGGGUGUGUAGGGCACAUGUUCUCCGAGCUGAGACCUCUCCUGCUUUCCCGUCCUUCCCAUGGUGUGGCUGAGCCGGAACAAUCUCCACCCUCCAGGGGGACUUCCUGCUUUAUCCUACAGCAAACAUGCCCUGAGCACCUGCUGUGAGCCAGGCUUGUUCCUACGUGUGCACCAUCAGGCUUGGAGCUUUCAGGGGGUCGGGAGGGGUCUCAAUCUCAGCCCGUAAGGAGACCCUGCCUCUGUGCUCACUGCUGCCAUUGUUAGCCUUGUGGUUGUCACCAGGGGCACCUCUCUCUGCUGCUCAUCUCUCUUCUGCUGGGCCAGGGCUUGUCUCUGACCCCCUGGCCCCCAGACUCUGCCUGGCACAAGUAGGGCUCCACAGAUGUCUGUCUAGUGAGCAGACGAAUGGGCGGAAGGUUGAAUAGGUCACCGUGUGAUUAAAUAGGAAAACUGACUCCUACCCUUGUACCUUUUUGUUCUUUGUCCACAUUGUUGGUCCACCAGGAGAGGGCGCUCUUCUCCAGCCACCCAAAAAUGCCCUGAGUCUAGGUUGGAAGCCCAGAGUUCUAGCCUGGGCUCUGCUAGGAACUCCCUGCACUCCCCUGGGUGAAUUGCUUUGGCCUGCCUGGGCCUCUCCUUUCCCAUCUGUCACCUGGGGUCACCGUUGCUUUUCUACCUGCCUGGAAGGGUGGGGCGGUGAGCAUAGCCUGGGUACAAGAUGAAGUGGGGGUGGGGUAUAUAGGGUGCGGUGGGCAGGGAGGUUGGGACACCUGGCCAACUCACUAGCUUAUGUGCAGAGCUGUGGGAUCCUGAGGGCCAUUUCUUGGCACCGCAUCCCAGAGCCUGACCUAGGGGUAAAUGACGUUUGUGGAAUGAAUGGCACACCGAGAAGCCCGUGGUGUCAGGUUUAGUCCCUUCCAGCUUUGGAAGUACUGAAUGAAAUGUGUUCUUUGGGGGCGCUUGGGUGGCUCAGUUGGUUAAGCAUCUGCCUU